rnacentral:lncRNA from 1 species
CACCUUUGAAACACUUGGUGGCUGCGCGGGAUCCGGCGGGGAGCGAGGGGAGUUCCCUGGUCACGUGCGGGAGGAAAUGUCUCCCUGGCCUCCCAGCCUGCCUGCUCUUGUUUCUGGGGCUCGUCUGGUUGGAUGAGCCAGGCCAGGAGCUCCCGCUCACCUCUGCAAGUUAAGCCCAUCGGUUUUUAAAAUUCAGAAUUCCAGGAAAGACUUUCCUUUCUACUUACUAGGUUAACAGAACACUAGCCCGGGGGGUUCCAACCACCAACGUUUCUAGGCAGCCAAAAAUCUCAUCACACAGCCAGAGAAACAGUCACAAAUUCCCAUGACACACUGCCAGGCCGUAUCUCUGCUCGCAGCCUGCUGCAGGACUGUGGGAGUAAGUCAGCGCUGCCGGUAUCAGCUCGAAGACUCCUGGACUCCCUCCACACUGAUACUUUGUGCCUUUUCCCUGAGUGAGAAACAGAGUCCUCUAUUUCUUCAGGAUAUCAGUUGUAACAAUAUUGUACUGAGUAAGGCUCCAGCUAGAGUCCUGUGGCGAGUCAAUAGAGACCUCCAUCGAAGUUGAAAUGGAUCCAUUACCAAGACUUUUAGGCAGUGAUUGUUCAACCAGCUGCAAAUCAGUCUAAUUUACCCCACAUCUACCCUACGCCUCUACAGGCCAGUGUAAAAGAUUUUUGCCUAACGUCAUACUGAAAUUCACACGUGUUGCCUUGACCUUCCAGCGCAACCACAUUGUCAAAGAAAUGGAGGUCUGCUCACACCUCACAGUUCACAUUUUCUUUGGCCCCUCUCUGUUACCAACGCUGGACUUUUCCUGCUGGCCUGAGGCUCCUCUUACAUCAGACACCGGCCACCCCUAGAACUUGCUUCCUCAUUUUUUGCUGUAACUGACUGUACGACACAGUGUUGGCUCCCUAAACGCAUUGGACAUACACCUGAAUGGCUGCGCGUCAGUGGCGGUGCUUUGAGUCCUGUUUCAGGUAUGCGGUGAACUGCUCGCUUGCUCACUCAGUGAAGUUACUGAUCGCUCCCUCCAAAAGUCCAGUUCUGCCAAGACGUAAAACCCUUUUGUAACACAAGUAUAAUACUUUCGAAUGUAGAUUUUGUUUACCUGUACUGAAUUUUCUCAAAAUGAACCAUACCUUUAAACACGAUAAUGACAGGCUAGGGCUGCUGUAACUUGAAUCAUCAGUGAAUACAAUACCUGGCACAUGGUGUGCUCCUGCCGGGAAAUUCUUUAACCUCAACUCUUCAGACUUAGGAAAAUAAGUAGUAUUUUCUUUAAAUUGGUAGUUUAUGUGAGGAUAAACAAAAGCAGUUUCCAUCUGGUUUGACGUUGACCCGGGAUUAUUUUCAAGUCAUCCUUGUUCCUCCUUUGCAAACGAAAUCACAGUCUCCAGGAGGAUGCAGCCAGUUAGUCUCGCCCGUCGCUGUCUUCAGAGUCAGCACGGUACCUGGACUCUGUAGAACACGUGCUCAGUGAACAUUUCUUGAACAGAUAAAUGAGGAAUAAAUGAAUACAUGUGUACAAAAAGCUUACUUCAUCUAGUCAUAAAAUGAUUUCAGUUUGCCAUGGGAUCAAAUGUAGACAUGACCAAUGCCUUCUAGAAAGAAACCUUUGGGGCAAAAAUCACCAUCUGAGUUGCACAAAUAAUAGUAAUAUUUUUGAUCAACAGUUCUCAAAUGUUUUGUUCUCAGGACUCCUUUAUACUCUAAAAAAUUGUUGAGAACCCCAAAGAGUUUUUGCUUAUAUAGGACAUAUCCAUUGAUACUUGCAAUAUUAGAAAUUAAAACCAAAAUUAAAUGUUAAUUUGAAAUAAUAGCAAUACUCAUAAUAUACCAACAUAAUGUUUUGUGAAAAUGUAUUUUCCAAAAUAAAAAUAAAUUAUGAGUGACAUUAUUUAAAAUAUUUGAAAAUCUCUUGACUGUCUGGCUUAGUAGAAGAUAGCUGGAUUCUCGUCUCUGCUUCUGCCUUCAAUCUAUGGUAAUAUUACCUGUCAUGUGGCCUCUAGAAAACUCCACAGUAUACUCAAGAGAAUGGGAUUUUCAUUAAAAUAGUUGUGAUCUGUGGACCCCCUGAAAGGGCUUGGAGAACCCCAGGAGUCCCUGGACUAUAAUUUGAGAACCUCUGUUCUAAAUGUUUACACUUUUAAAAUAAUAAAGCUAUUCAAUUCAUAACAGUUUCUUCUUUGCCUAGAAUAUCAGAACCUUCAGGGCGAAGGUCAUCCAUCAGCUCAGGUGGGGAAUGACAGCCUGUCCAUCACCUGUCACGCUGCUCAGCUGCUGCCUGAUUGCUACUGGGCUUUUCCUUCCUUUUUAGUGUUAAUGGUUUUUGGCCGUACUUCUUCUGCGUUUUCAUUAGAAGAUGCUGCCAGUCCUUUCUGGAAAGAGGUUAAGUGUUUAAAAGUAUAGGAAUAUCUGUCUAUCCAUCUAUCUAUCUAUCUACACACACAUAAAAAGCAACACAUACAAGUUUGAAAGUACACUUUCAUUUCAUUUUCAGUAUCUAUCUAGCUAACGCACCUCAACAGGAUGAAAAUAUAUAAUAUAGUCACUUGAAAGGUUAAGAAAAUCCUCAGGUUGUCUGAAUGGGCCUUCUUCACAGAGCCCAGAGAAUGGGGUUCAAGUGCAGGGCCUGCUCUCUAAACAGCUACAGCUCCAUGACAGGCAAUUUAUCACUCAAGAAAUGAGGCAAAUCAUCAAGGUCUCAGAGUGUCUGAACUGUUCCUCAGAACUCCCACCCGGACCAUCCACUUUUUCUCUGUCAAUAACUAAUUUGACUGAAGCCUAUGAGAGUCGCACUUUUUCAGUGCCAGCCCACUGCAUGUCAUUUUUCUGUCUGGGAGAACUGCCCUUCAGUCAUCCAGGCGGGUGAGCGCCCCGCCUUGCCUGUCUCAGGGCACCCUGUUUGGGGCCACCCUUGACCGGAUCAGGUUGUGCACCUGACCCAGGCUGAGCCAACCGCAUUCUCUCUCGUGGGAAUGUGGCCUCGGAUUGAGCACAGCCAGCUACCCGGGACCGACCUCUUCAGUAGGGAGGGUGUAAACCCGGCAGUUGUGAGGGAUCCUCUUCCACUCAGCUGCCCAGAGAGAAGAAGGAAGGAGAGUUGAUUGCAGAGAGACGUGGAGCAGAGGCGAAGGCUGGAGAAGGCCUGCUUCCUGGCUUCCUCGUAGCCAUCUGUCCUUGGGCUUCAUGAGAUACUGCCUCACCACAUAUUUCCCUUAAUAAUUAAGCCAGCUCAAGUUGAUUCCUUGCAACCAAAAGCUCUCAACUAAAGCAAAGGCAAAGCCAGAAGCAUUGGUGAGUUUUUCGCUACAGCCGGGUCCUGUAAAAGAUCCUGGAGAGGAUUGAUUGUAGGUCCUAAAUACGCAUCAUCGACUCACUGAAGGCUUCCAUCCGGCCAAAACACGUUUCCAUCCAAGGCCAACUAGAUUAGGAAAUGGCGUUUCCUCCUGCUUUCCAUCCCUGGAGGGCAAAUGUACAGAUGACUGGAGUUAGCAAUUGACUCUGUGGGUUAGUAUUUGCUGAGGGCACACGCCCAGGGACUUGAAUGACAGCAAUCCCCAGGUGCCAGGGAGGAGGCUGGCAAUUACGCUUCCCAUCACUGGCCUAUUCACCACUCCUGCAAACCAGCAUUCCUCAGAGCACUGACCCUCAAUGACUGGCAGGGCGACCGACUUUUAAAAGUGCCCAUUUUUAGCAGCUGGAAAUAAUAAACAGAGGGAAGUGAAGAUGCUGGAGGACUGAUUUCUCUUCCACUGUUUUCAAAAGUCAAAAGAUGCUAUAGACUAGUGGACUGGCAAGGAUGCCACGGAAAGCUGGUGCAACUCCUGCCGCAGAGCAGCUGUGUGAUGAUGGGUUAGUCCAUACACCUCCCUGGGCCUCAGUUUUUACAGCUGCAGAAUGACGAGGUAGAACUAGAAGGUCUUUAAUAUCCUUUUCAUCUCCAACUUUCUACAAUCUUUGUGAGCUGGAAAGAUUUACAUAGAACUUCAUCUUGAUUUUAUUACUUGUAGUUCAUCUUCUUGUGACAGAGCCGGCGGCAGCCUGUGCGUGCGGAAGGCCCACAGUCACACCCGAUCUAAACGCCCUGGAUGUGGCAAGAUCUACUGAGUUUGAAGACGGGAAAGGGAGAAAUAAGACUACGUGGCCAUCGUUUCUGGCAGCAGAAAUACUACACUUUCCUUCCCUGGGACUCUGCCAUCAUCUCCGCACCUCCUUCCCCCUG